rnacentral:rRNA from 1 species
AUUGAACGCUGGCGGCAGGCCUAACACAUGCAAGUCGAACGAGAGGCGGACGGGUGAGUAAUGUCUGGGAACCUGCGUGAUGGAGGGGUACAACAACUGGAAACGGAUGCUAAUAACGCAUACAAUGAGCUGUGCCCAGAUGGGUUUAGCUUGUUGGUGGGGUAACGGCCCACCAAGGCGAAGAUCCCUAGCUGGUCUGAGAGGAUGACCAGCAACACUGGAACUGAGACACGGUCCAGACUCCUACGGGAGGCAGCAGUGGGGAAUAUUGGACAAUGGGCGCAAGCCUGAUGCAGCCAUGCCGCGUGUAUGAAGAAGGCCUUCGGGUUGUAAAGUACUUUCAGCGGGGAGGCGUUACCCGCAGAAGAAGCACCGGCUAACUCCGUGCCAGCAGCCGCGGUAAUUC